rnacentral:rRNA from 1 species
GACGAACGCUGGCGGCGUGCCUAACACAUGCAAGUCGAGCGGAGUUGACAAGAGGAAGUUUUCGGAUGGAAUCUUGCCAGCUUAGCGGCGGACGGGUGAGUAACGCGUGAGCGACCAACCUUGCACAGGGGGAUAACGGACCGAAAGGUUCACUAAUACCGCAUGAGACCACGGUGUUGCAUGACACAGGGGUCAAAGGAGGAAUCCGGUGCAAGACGGGCUCGCGUCCGAUUAGGUAGUUGGAGGGGUAACGGCCCACCAAGCCUAUGAUCGGUAACCGACGUGAGAGGGUGAUCGGCCACAGUGGAACUGAGAUACGGUCCAAACUCCUACGGGAGGCAGCAGUGGGGAAUAUUGGGCAAUGGGGGAAACCCUGACCCAGCAACGCCGCGUGAAGGAAGAAGGUUUUCGGAUUGUAAACUUCUGUCCUUGGUGAAGAGAAGAAGACGGUAGCCAAGGAGGAAGCCCCGGCUAACUACGUGCCAGCAGCCGCCGUAA